UACGAAGGGGGGCUAGCGUUGCUCGGAAUCACUGGGCGUAAAGCGCACGUAGGCGGGUCGUUAAGUCAGGGGUGAAAUCCUGGAGCUCAACUCCAGAACUGCCUUUGAUACUGGAGAGCUUGAGUCCGGAAGAGGUGAGUGGAACUCCGAGUGUAGAGGUGAAAUUCGUAGAUAUUCGGAAGAACACCGAUGGCGAAGGCAGCCAUCUGGACCGACACUGACGCUGAGGCGCGAAAGCGUGGGGAGCAAACAGGG
rnacentral:rRNA from 1 species